GCUCCUGUAGUGUAGUCCGGUCAAGCAUUUAGGCCUUUCACGCCUGAGACUCGGGUUCGAAUCCCGACGGGAGCAC
rnacentral:tRNA from 1 species